rnacentral:rRNA from 1 species
AUUCCAGCUCCAAUAGUGUAUAUUAAAGUUGUUGCAGUUAAAAAGCUCGUAGUUGGAUUUCUGGCUUUAUAGAACUGACCCGCCACGUUAGUGUGUGAGUGUCGGCUUCUAUAUGCCAUCCUUCCACAGAACGUUUCUACUCUUGAUUGAGCCGGAUUCGCAAUGUGGAACUUUUACUUUGAAAAAAUUAGAGUGUUCAAAGCAGGCUUACGCUAUGAAUACAUUAGCAUGGAAUAAUAAUCUAGGACUUUGGUUCUAUUUUGUUGGUUUCUAGAACUGGAGUAAUGAUUGAUAGGGAUAGUUGGGGGUGCUAGUAUUCAGCGGCCAGAGGUGAAAUUCUUGGAUUCGCUGAAGACUAACUUAUGCGAAAGCAUUCACCAAGGAUGUCUUCAUUA